GACGAACGCUGGCGGCGUGCUUAACACAUGCAAGUCGAACGGAAAGGCCCUGCUUUUGUGGGGUGCUCGAGUGGCGAACGGGUGAGUAACACGUGAGUAACCUGCCCUUGACUUUGGGAUAACUUCAGGAAACUGGGGCUAAUACCGGAUAGGAGCUCCUGCUGCAUGGUGGGGGUUGGAAAGUUUCGGCGGUUGGGGAUGGACUCGCGGCUUAUCAGCUUGUUGGUGGGGUAGUGGCUUACCAAGGCUUUGACGGGUAGCCGGCCUGAGAGGGUGACCGGCCACAUUGGGACUGAGAUACGGCCCAGACUCCUACGGGAGGCAGCAGUGGGGAAUAUUGCACAAUGGGCGGAAGCCUGAUGCAGCAACGCCGCGUGCGGGUUGACGGCCUUCGGGUUGUAAACCGCUUUCGCCUGUGACGAAGCGUGAGUGACGGUAAUGGGUAAAGAAGCACCGGCUAACUACGUG
rnacentral:rRNA from 1 species